rnacentral:rRNA from 1 species
UUCCGGUUGAUCCCGCCAGAGGCCACUGCUAUCAGAGUUCGAUUAAGCCAUGCGAGUCGAGAGGUGCAAGACCUCGGCAUACUGCUCAGUAACACGUGGACAAUCUAACCUACGGAAGAGGAUAACCCCGGGAAACUGGGGAUAAUACUCUAUAGACUAUGGAAGCUGGAAUGCUCUGUAGCCGAAAGGUCCGCCGCCGCAGGAUGGGUCUGCGGCCGAUUAGGUUGUUGUUGGGGUAACGGCCCAACAAGCCUGUAAUCGGUACGGGUUGUGGGAGCAAGAGCCCGGAGAUGGAUUCUGAGACACGAAUCCAGGCCCUACGGGGCGCAGCAGGCGCGAAAACUUUACAAUGCGGGAAACCGUGAUAAGGGAACUCUGAGUGCCCGUUAAAUCGGGCUGUCCAUCAGUUUAAAGAACUGGUGAAGAAAGGACCGGGCAAGACCGGUGCCAGCCGCCGCGGUAAUACCGGCGGCUCGAGUGGUGGCCACUAUUACUGGGCUUAAAGCGUUCGUAGCUGGUUUGUUAAGUCUCUGGGGAAAUCUUCCGGCUUAACCGGAAGGCGUCUCAGGGAUACUGGCAGACUAGGGACCGGAAGAGGUGAGAGGUACUCCAGGGGUAGGGGUGAAAUCCUGUAAUCCUUGGGGGACCACCUGUGGCGAAGGCGUCUCACCAGGACGGCUCCGACAGUGAGGGACGAAAGCUGGGGGAGCAAACCGGAUUAGACACCCGGGUAGUCCCAGCCGUAAACGAUGUGCAUUAGGUGUAUCGGUGACCACGAGUCACCGAGGUGCCGAAGAGAAAUCGUGAAAUGCACCGCCUGGGAAGUACGGUCGCAAGGCUGAAACUUAAAGGAAUUGGCGGG